CGAGCCUAUAAUAUAUUUGACCUCAAAUGCAUAGUUUUGGCGCGAAAUGCAAUAAUACAAAUUCAAGAUAGCAGAGAGUCGGCUCUUUCGACAAUGUGACCCACGUUGAAGGGGAUUUUUAUCGCGCUGUUGGGCUGGGAGUAGCCCCGCCGAAAGCGCAGGUCUGUGUGGGUCCAGAGAUGGUUGAAGUCCCGAAAGCAUGCAGGGGAGUUCCACCGUUUCGUUUAAGAGCUUCGAAUAUUUUGAGAGGAAUUUCGAAGUUGAUUUCGUCUGAACCGAAGCGAGUUGAAUCACCUGCUCCAGAUAGUUGGAGCCAGGAUCGCCCGGAUGGGUACCAACUACCGGGAGUUAGUUGAACGCGUGGCGAUUUGUCUCCGAUUAUUGGUGACAGGAGACUCCUACAGGACCAUUGGAUUCAGCUUCGGAGUUGGACGGUCCACGGUGGCAGGCAUUGUCUCCUCUGUGGCACAAGCCAUUUGGGACUGUCUGGUUGGUGAAUACAUGCCUGUCCCCAAGGAGGAAGACUGGAGGGCCAUCGCUGACUAGUUCCUGGAAAGGUGGAAUUUACCCAACUGUCUUGGCUCCAUUGCUGGGAAAUGUAGUAAUCCAGGCUCCACCGUACUUGGGUUCGCAAGUCUACAACUACAAGGGUACAUAUUCAGUUGUACUCUUGGCUGUUGUAGAUGCCUUCUACUGUUUCCGUGUCGUCGAUGUUGGUGCUUACGGCAAGGGAAGUGAUGGCGGGUCCCUCCGGGACUCUGCCUUUGGCCAGGCACUUCAGGAUGGCACCCUGGAGAUUCUACCACCUGCAUCACUCCCUGGGGCUGAAGACCUGGGACCUGUUCCCCACGUCUUCGUCGAUGACGAGGCCUUCCUUCCCUUUGAGACCCAACCUCGUGAUAGCCCUACAUCUUCACUGCUCUGACAAAAUGCAGGUGGAGAAAAAAAACAAUUAAGGAAGAGAAUGUGUUUUUACUUUCAUCUUGUCUUAGAUCUGUAAAGGUGUCGGGAAGAAAUAAGCAGAUUAAGUCUAAAUGAGAUAUUAAUAAACAAAUGAAACAACUGACUAUAAAAACACAAUAUAAGUAUUCAAGUACAGGAAAGAACGUGACAGGUAUGUAUGUGUGUGGUAAAAAUGUAGAAUUUUUUUUUUUAACUAUUGAAAGAGUUGUGUAUGUGUGUGUAAAAAUGGCACAACUGCAGACAGAUACAGGCACUACUCAUAAAGCCUAGACAUACUAGGGGAACUUCAGACAUGGUCAUAAAGAGAGAGAGGCCAGGGAACUGGAGACCUGAGGGACAGAGAGGAGUGGAGGAGAGUGAAUGUGUAGCCACAAUACAGGUAAACACACAUUUCACCUUUAGUCUUGUAAAAGAACAACAAGAGCAUCUGAAUUCUCUGGUGUGUCAGCUUCAAUUCAGUCAAUUUUCAUGCAAUCUAUGUACAACUAAUAAUGAAUGCUAUCCUAAGUAUUGAGAAACUACUAACAAGGACAUAGUAAGCGGAAUAAAAUUGGAAAAUCUCAAUAGAGGACAGUUGGAAAAUCUCAGUUGCAUUUCCUUGAUUCCUCGCAUCCUCUGUCAUGUUCUGACCUUAGUUCCUUUAUUAUGUCUUUGUGUUUGUUUGGUCAAGGUGUGAGUUGGGGUGGGUAGUCUAUGUUCUUUUUUCUAUGUUGUAUUUCUGUUUUUGGCCUGGUAUGAGGCAGCUGUCGAUCGUUGUCUCUGAUUGAGAAUCAUACUUAGGUAGCCUGUUUUCCCCAUUUUGGUUGUGGGUGAUUGUUUUCUGUUUAGUGCGUAUUCCUUACAGAACUUUUUCUAUCUCGCUCGUUAUUAUUUUUGUCAUUUCAGUGUUCAGUUUAUUUUGUGUAUUAAAAUGAACACUUACCACGCUG